AGAGUUUGAUUCUGGCUCAGGAUGAACGCUAGCUACAGGCUUAACACAUGCAAGUCGAGGGGUAGCAGGGUAGCAAUACCGCUGACGACCGGCGCACGGGUGAGUAACACGUAUCCAACCUUCCCAUAACUCAGGGAUAGCCUUUCGAAAGAAAGAUUAAUACCUGAUAGUACUUUUUCAAGGCAUCUUGAGAAGUUAAAGAUUUAUUGGUUAUGGAUGGGGAUGCGUUCCAUUAGAUAGUUGGUGAGGUAACGGCUCACCAAGUCUUCGAUGGAUAGGGGGUUCUGAGAGGAAGGUCCCCCACAUUGGUACUGAGACACGGACCAAACUCCUACGGGAGGCAGCAGUGAGGAAUAUUGGUCAAUGGGCGAGAGCCUGAACCAGCCAAGUAGCGUGAAGGAUGAAGGUCCUAUGGAUUGUAAACUUCUUUUAUAGUAGAAUAAAGUGAUCCACGUGUGGAUUUUUGUAUGUAUACUAUGAAUAAGGAUCGGCUAACUCCGUGCCAGCAGCCGC
rnacentral:rRNA from 1 species